UAGUAACUGCGAGUGAAGCGGGAAAAGCUCAAAUUUAAAAUCUGGUAGUCUUUGGCUGCCCGAGUUGUAAUCUAGAGAAGCGUUAUCCGUGCUGGACCGUGUAUAAGUCUCCUGGAAUGGAGCGUCAUAGAGGGUGAGAAUCCCGUCUUUGACACGGACUCCCAGUGCAUUGUGAUGCGCUCUCGAAGAGUCGAGUUGUUUGGGAAUGCAGCUCUAAAUGGGUGGUAAAUUCCAUCUAAAGCUAAAUAUUGGCGAGAGACCGAUAGCGAACAAGUACCGUGAGGGAAAGAUGAAAAGAACUUUGGAAAGAGAGUUAAACAGUACGUGAAAUUGUUGAAAGGGAAACGCUUGAAGUCAGUCGCGUUGGCUUGGAAUCAGCCUUGCUUUUGCUUGGUGUACUUCCUUGUGAACGGGUCAGCAUCAAUUUUGACCGGUGGAAAAAGGCCAGAUGAAUGUGGCAUCUUCGGAUGUGUUAUAGCUUCUGGUCGUAUACAUCGGUUGGGAUUGAGGAACUCAGCACGCCGCAAGGUCGGGGUUCGCCCACGUUCGUGCUUAGGAUGCUGGCAUAAUGGCUUUAAUCGACCCGU
rnacentral:rRNA from 1 species